rnacentral:rRNA from 1 species
UACGAAGGGGGCUAGCGUUGCUCGGAAUCACUGGGCGUAAAGCGCACGUAGGCGGAUCUUUAAGUCAGGGGUGAAAUCCUGGAGCUCAACUCCAGAACUGCCUUUGAUACUGGGGAUCUCGAGUCCGGAAGAGGUAAGUGGAACUCCGAGUGUAGAGGUGAAAUUCGUAGAUAUUCGGAAGAACACCAGUGGCGAAGGCGAGUCCCUGGACAACACCUGACACUGAGGCACGAAAGCUAGGGGAGCAAACAGG